rfam:Zymoseptoria brevis strain Zb18110 contig4115, whole genome shotgun sequence.
UGUUAAGUAUAUAAAGAAACUAUUAUGGAUAAAUAGCUGUAUAUCAAGGAACACAAGUUAAGCAGAAACUGUAAAAUGCUGCUUCGGCGUAACUCGGGCUCCUGCUUCGGCAAGGUUGGGACUAAGCAAAUUCCAGGAGAAAUCCAAUCUUUAAACGAAGUGAAUUGAAAUAUCUUAGUAACUUCAGGAAUAAAAAUCAAAUGAGAUUGAGUAUUCAUGUAAAAAGUGAUGCAAAACCAGUACCUCGUUGUCGUUAAGAGCGACUCAGGUCAGUCUUUAAAGUAAAAUGGAGCAAAUCUGUUUGAACAUAGGGAAACCUUUCUCUAAGACUAAAUAUGAUAUACAAGCGACAGUGAAUAAGUAGCGUAAGGGAAAUUUUUGAAAUAGUAGUUUUAUAAGCAGCUCAAGUUUAGGUUAAACCUUGAAUGAGAGCGUACCUUUUGCAUAAUGGGUCAGCAAGUUAAUAUUAGAUGCGAGAUGAAGGGGUAAAUCCUUUUAGUCCUAGAUAAACCAAUUAUUAAUUAAUGAAUUAGUAUCUGGUAUUAGACCCGAAGCCUAGUGAUCUUACCAUGAUCAGGGUUAUAAAAGCCCGAACAGGUUAUCGUUGUAAAGAUAUCUGAAGAAUUGUGGUAAGUUAGUGAAAGACAAAACUGACUAGGAUAGCUGGUUUUCCGCGAAACCUAUAUAAGUAGGUAGUUUAAAUAAUUUAUAUUUUAAUUUUGCCCUAAGCUUUUGCUCGAAUAAUAAUAACGCUGACGAUAAAAAUUAUUGCAUCGUUGAUGAGAAAGAGAAAGAGAAAGGGAAAAAGAAAAAAUGUAAAAACAUCAUUGCAGGUACAGAAUUGUGAUCUCAGAUAAGUUUACAUAGCGCGAAAGCGGUUGUAAAUUUAUAUAUAUUGGGGGAUCGUGAAGAUUUUAUCAGUGAGUAUUUGCUCUCGGAAGGGCAAUAGAUGAAUAUUAGACUGUCAGACAUAUUACGAUAAGGUUGUAUGUCUAAAGGGAAACAGCCCAGAACAAGAGUUAAAGGUUCCAAAAUUGUUGUUAAGUGAAAUUAAGGUAGUUUUUUUCAUAUACAGCCAGGAAAUAGGCUUAGAAGCGGCCAUUUUUUUAAGACCUCGUAACAGAGCACUGGUUUGAUAAAAAGUCAUAUUAAUAUUAGCCUUUAAGGUAUAUUAUGUAUGGCUAAGUUAAACGCACCGAAAAUUUAACGGAUCUAAACAACAUACCGAAACCUUGUACAUGAGAAUAGAUAAUUCUAUACCUUUCUCCCCCACUUAAAAAAAAUAAGUAUAUAAGGAAGAGGUAUGGGGACUAUUCCAUGGGGUAGCGGAACAUUGGGUAAAUUUUCAUAAGUUUAUGUCCUCGAUAUGAAUUAAGCGGUUAUAAGCAUGCGUGCAGCCGCGAAAAUAUCCCAAGUGAGAAUGCUGACAUGAGUAACGAUAAAGGGAUUACCCCUCGCCUUAAGCUUAUGGUAUUCAAUGAAGUAACGGCCCCUAAGUUUAUUGAUCUGACCUAAAGGAUUAAAUGAUGGGAAAUUCUUAAAGUAUAUUUAACAACGUCUUCCUGCAAGUAAUAAAAAGGUUUGAGACUCAAGUUUGCUGUAUUUUUCUUACAAAAAAAUAAGGGUAAAACCGCUAGUAACUUAACUUAGAACGUAAAUGAAAAAGGAGCAGGAGAUCUAAUGGACGUUCUGGAAAAAAAUUACAAGAUAUCAACCGUACCUAAAUACUACCACAAGUAAGCAAGUAGAGAAUACAAAGGCGUUUGAGAUAACAAUCAUUAAGGAACUCGGCAAAUUGACACCGUAACUUAGGGAUAAGGUGUGCCAUUAUAGAGCUAUUAUACUUGGCCUAAACCCCCAUUGUAUACUAGCUAUUGUAAGAGGAGACAUAAAAUGGUGUUGUACGACUGUUUAAUUAAAACAAAGCACUUUGCAUAAGAUUUUAAAUCAAAGUAUUGAGUGUGAUUUCUGCCCGAUGUUGGCUGGUUAACGAAUUUUCUUAGCUGAAUAAAUAUAGGCUAGGUUUUGAAGGAACCCCCAAUCAAUGGCGGCCUUACCGAUGAGGGUCCUAAGGUAGCGGAAUACCCUGGCCGUUAAAUGCGGUCUUGCAUGAAUGAUUUAACGAUACAACAGCUGUCUCAAUGAUUGUCUCAGUGAAAUUGGAAUAACUGUGCAGAUACAGUUUUCUUCUAGUUAGACGAGAAGACCCUAUGCAGCUUUACUGUUGCUAGUAAUUGGAUAUGAUGUAACGAAUUGUAGUGUAUAAGGUAGUUGACAAGAUGUAAUUGAAACACCUUUAUUAUGUUUAUCAUAUCAGUUGCGUACUAGACUACUUUUUUGAGUAUGAUCACAUACCUGACAAUUAUAGGUUGUUCUUGAUUGUAAGAGAGCAGAGAGUUCUUUUUUUGUCAGAUUAAGUAAAGUAAUUAAAUAUUACCUAGUAUAGCUAAGCUUAUCCAAAAGAAAAUUAGAUUUAUUAGUAGUAGGAUGGAUUUUUUAUGAACUAUGGUCUAACACACUAUGGUUUAUAUUAAAUUAUCUGAAUCUAUAUAAAUGUGAAGGAAACAGUUGCUAGUGGAUAGUUUAUGCGGGGCACAGAUCCCAUAAAAAGUACCUGGGUGUAUCCAAAGUUAAAAUUGUAAAUUCAUCUACUUAAGUUAAUGAUAUGCGCUAUUAUUGUACCAUAUGCCGCAACUUGUCGGCUCCCGGUAUAGAUAUACGCAGUUACUAUUUUACUAUGCUAUAGAUUAUUAUUUAAUCUAUUCAGUUAUAAUUCUAUUAGGUUAGAAUAAUUAUAUUUUUUAAGUAAGGUUUUAACUAUAUGGAAAAUAGAUGUUAAUAAAACAUUAGUCUUAUUGUUUUUACUUGUCUACAAUUUGGCAAAUGCCAAGUUUAAAGAUGAUUUUUAAUAUUACUGUUAAAGUUUAAUGGCUUAACCUUGCUUUACUGUUUGACUUACACGUCUAUCAGUCACGUAAGUGGGGCAUACGAUCACAAGAUGCAGAAAGGAAAGGUCUUGGAUUAUUGAAAAAAGCUACGCUAGGGAUAACAGGCUAAUUGCGCCAGAGAGUACAAAUUGAGUGCGCAGUUUGGCACCUCGAUGUCGGCUUAGCUCAUCCACAUGAAUGCAGGAAUCAUGAAGGGUACGACUGUUCGUCGGUUAAAGAGCUACACGAGCUGGGUUAAAUACGUCGUGAGACAGUAUGGUUUCUAUCUUCUAGAAGUAAUUAGAGUAAAACAAGAAUAGCCCCUUCGUACGAAAGGAGUUGGGUAUGUUAACCUCUAGUUUAUUUGUUGUUUAUGGGCGACGAUAUGAUAUAUGCACACCUGGUUGUAUAGCAUUCUCAUAUAGGAUAUGAUGUAAUUAGAUACACAUAUGUACCAUAGGCACGGCAAUAAAGCUACGUUAGCUAUAAAUAAAUGCUGAAUGCAUAUAGGCAUAAAGUUUAUCUUGAUAUACUCUUAAAUAUACGUAAUACACUAUUACGAAUUAUGAGUUUAUAACAAUUAACUCGUAAUUGUAUAGGCUUUGGUUGUAAGGAUUUUGAGGUCUUAAGAUACAAAGUACUAAUUUUAUUAAAAACUAAAUAAU